rnacentral:rRNA from 1 species
CUACGGGGGGCACCAGUGGGGAAUAUUGCACAAUGGGCGCAAGCCUGAUGCAGCAACGCCGCGUGAACGAUGAAGGCCUUCGGGUUGUAAAGUUCUUUUCUUAGGGAAGAAUAAAUGACGGUACCUAAGGAAUCAGCCCCGGCUAACUACGUGCCAGCAGCCGCGGUAAUACGUAGGGGGCAAGCGUUAUCCGGAAUCACUGGGCGUAAAGGGAGUGUAGGCGGUCAAGCAAGUCAGGGGUGAAAGGCAUCGGCUCAACCGAUGUAAGCCUUUGAAACUGUUUGACUUGAGUGCAGGAGAGGUAAGUGGAAUUCCUAGUGUAGCGGUGAAAUGCGUAGAUAUUAGGAGGAACACCAGUGGCGAAGGCGACUUACUGGACUGUAACUGACGCUGAGGCUCGAAAGCGUGGGGAGCGAACAGGAUUAGAUACCCCGGUAGUC